ensembl:lncRNA
CUUACUUCAGAUGUCUGAAUUCUCACAACAACUUUGCAGGGUAGUUCCUAUUACUUCCAAAUAAUAGGUAAGGUAAUUGAGAUAGCGAGAGACUAAAUACUUUGCUCCCAGUGGUCUGCCUGGUAAAAGGCAAGACAGAAUUGAAAAGCCUGGUCUUUCCUUCACAUUCUACAUCAGGGGAGAGGAUCGAGCCUUUAGCCCUUUUUCCCUUUGUGGAACUAGGAGGAGAAUGUGCUUCCAUGAUAUUGGAGGUUUGUGAACACAGCCAAGAUGAUAGCCACCAGAUGAAACUGGAGGAUGCACCGUGGGAAUGAGCAUGUUGGCACUGGGGUUUGCCGUUUGCAGGGAAUCUCAUGGCAGUCUGAGUUGAGUCAUUUCUCCUGGUUUCAGCUGGAAGACGUGCAGAUGAAGCUCCUAGCAAGGAAGAACUGAGGGGAAAAACAGGAUGAAUGAGAACCUCUGAACCUAUCGUCAUGGAACUUUAUAUUUGUUACUGAUUGACAAUAGUCAUAACAAGUCCUUCUUGCCUCCAGCUGAUUCUAGUUACUGAUUUAACCAGGGCGUUGUAAUGUGGCUGCAAUUCUGUGCACAAGGCUUUUGAAGCUGUUAAUUCCGUCUGCUGGCUUGGCGCUCCGGUGGGCAGAGGCUGUCCCAUUCAGCACCCUCCCCACCCCAGCACCUGACACACCAGCUCUCAAGGACAGUGACCCCCUGCAGAGAUGGGCCCAGAAAAAUGCACUGGAAAACAAAAUCUCUAUCAGUAAUUUUGUUGUCAGACAAUCAAGGCUGAGACUCACUCAUCUAGUACCUAAUAGGUGGCCAAUUUAUUUUUCUUGAGCAAUUUAGUAAAUGAAGAUCGAAUGUCACAGUGACCAUGGAAAUAUACCAUAGAUCUCCUGCCAGCAGUGGGAUAAUUAACUGAGGGCCCCAGCUGUGGCCUUUUUGAAUCCAGCACAGUGUUUGCACAAGGCCAUGUGUCUUGUGGGCUGGCUUCCAGCCAGGAACAGAACAUGAUGAGGAUCCUCAAGGUGUCCCAUUGCUGUGAGACAAAUGGCUCCUCUAAUGGGCACCUGGCUUGAGGACACCCUUCCUGCCUGUUACAGAGUGAAUUACAGUCCCCCAAAGUUCAUAUGUUGAAGUCCUAACCCUGGUACCUCAGAAUAUGACUUUUAAGAGGUAAUUAAGUUAAAAUGGGGGCUCCUCAUAUGGCUCAGUGGUAAAGAAUCAGCCUGCCAGUGCAGAAGAUGUGGGUUUGAUCUCUGGGUUUGGAAGAUCCCAUGGAGAAGGAAGUGGCAACCCACUCCAGUGUUCUUGCCUGGGAAAUCUCAUGGAUAGAGGAGCCUGGCGGGCUACAGUCCCUGGGGUCAAAAGAGUCGGACACAACUUUAUGACUAAACAAAAACAAGUUAAAAUGAGGUCAUGAUGGUGGACUUUAAUCCAAUAUGACUGAUCCACUGGAUCACCAGGGAAGUCCUGACAUUAUUUUAAAAUAAGCUCCAAUAGUAAGUGACAGGGUUUUUUUGGGGAAAAAAAAAAGAAGUAUCUUGCACAUCAGUCUCCCUUGCCAGUAUAGACAGGUUUUUAACACUCUGACCAUGUUUUCUGCCAUGGUCCUCUGGGCAACCCAGCUGUCUUGGGGCUGCCUACUUCUGCCUGGGAAGGGAAGGGAGGUAAAUGACACCCAUCUCGUAAGACUAUAGCUGCCAGAGCUGGAAAGGACCUCAGAGAUGAUCACUCAAUUUCUGCCCCUUAACUCCAUUUGGAGAGACCGAGCACCCACAUGGUUAAGUGUCCUGGUGACUCACCAAGGUCACAGAGCUGACAAAUGGCUCUUAUUGACAUUUCCAUGAAUGUGUUUUUUAGAAGUAAAUAGAUACUGUUAUUUAAAAUGACAUGUUUGGAUCACCUAUGCGUUACUAGUCACUUCUACUGGUUACCUGUGGUCCUGUGGAAAUUCUGGCUCUCUCGUCUCACAUGCAGUCAGAAGGAAGGAUGCAUUUUCCCCUUUCACCAAUACCUGGGGCUGUUUCUAGGUACAAGCUUCUGACAGCAUGCGACGGGGUUGAUUUUUUAUGAGCUGUCAGAGAAGAUAAAGCCUAGCUCAGUAACUGAAGCCCACAGUGCACCCACAUCAAAUAGCAAGGCCUGCCUUGGGCUGGCAGCAAGCUGGAUAGGGUCUGCCUGCCUCUUCCUCCAUCUGUCCCCAGCAGAUCUCAUGUGGCAUCGCCAGCAAGCUGGCUGAGCCUGCCCUCGUCAGCUUGGGGUUGAGGAGGGGGAGUGUGGGGCUAGAGCUGUAGGGCAGAGGCUCUGCUUGAGUCCAAGGCCUCCCACCAGUCUUCUUUCUUCAAAAUCAAGUGAAUGGCUUGUGCUAUUAAUAUGGGAAUGAGUGAAAGUCACUCAGCCACGUCCAGCUCUUGGCAAGCCCAUGGACUACACAGUCCAUGGAAUUCUCCAGGCCAGAAUACUGGUGUGGGUAGCCUUUCCUUUCUCCAGGGGAUCUUCCCAACCCAGAUCUCCCACACUGCAGGCAGAUUCUUUACUAGAUGAGCCACAAGGGAAGCCCAGCAAUACUGGAGUGGGUAGCCUAUCCCUUCUCCAGCAGAUCUUUCCGACCCAGAAAUCAAACUAGGCUCUCCUGCAUUGCAGGCGGAUUCUUUACCAACUGAGCUAUCAAGGAUGCCCAAGUUGCUCAGUCAUACACAACUGAGUGACUAACACAGGAACAGGUAUAGGAUAAGAAGGGCUUCCCUGGUGGCUUGGUGGUAAAGAACCCAUCUGCCAAUGUAGGAGAUGAAGAUUCGAUCCCUGGGUUGGGAAGAUCCUUUGGAGAAGGAAAUGGCAACACACUCCAGUAUUCUGGCCUGGGAAAUCCCAUGGACAGAGGAGCCUAGUGGGCUAUAGUCCAUGGAGUCACAGUCAGACAUGACUUAGUGUCUGAGUACGCACGCACAUAGGAUAAGAGCACCUCACAAUUCCUGAGUUCCAAGAAGCCCUAGGACCCAGAAAGUUUCUUCUAGAACUUCAAAAAUUCCUAAGGCAAUGGUGAGGCAGAGCCUAACUCCCCAGGGAGGUAGCCCAGACACUGUUAUAAAAGUUACUUAUUAAUAAAAACGAAAAAUGCAGGCAGGUGAGGGCAGCACGUAUAGUAAGAGUGGAACGAUUCAGAGAAGACUAGCCUGGCCCCUGCAUGGAUGACAUACAAAUUCCUGAAGCGUUUCAUUUUUUUUUUAAGCAGCCAGUCUGCAGGCUGUAGUUUUCUGGUUCAGUUUUUUUUUUUAAGUGCAUUAAAAUAUUAUUUAACUUGCUGAGUUUUUGGUGCCCUCUUAAAUUUUACACCCAAUGCAAGUCUCAGCUUUGAGAUACCUACUGCUUUCUGUCCAGCAUCUCCUUCUCCUUGGUACCAGGACACCCAGUUUCUUUGGAAAAUUACCCCUCUGUCUCUUCUUAUGUGUGUGCUUUGGGUGGGAUUGACCGUACCCCUAAUCCAGGAAUGGGCUGUGAUUGGCUUAAACCAGUCAAUAUAUAUCUUUCCCAUAGGCUGAUUGGUUCAAAGGGAGGGCAAUUAAGCUUGUCCAGGGACUUCCCUGGUGGUCCAGUUGUUAAGUUUGAUCCCUGAUUGGGGAACUAAGAUGCUGUAUGCCACAGGGCCAAAAAGAUAUACAUAUUUUUUUUUAUAUAUACAUUAAAAAAGGCUGGCCCAGGAGGAGUGACCUUGGGAAUUAAGCUGGGAAUGCAGAGCCACGGAUACCUUCUCCUCCUUAGGUUUGUGGUGAAGGGAUUUCUGGUCAGAGAUUGCUGGCAAAGGAGCUUCCCUGGUGGCUCAGAUGGUAAAGAAUCUGCCUGCAAUGCAGGAGACCUGAGUUUGAUCCCUGGGUUGGGAAGAUACUC